rnacentral:lncRNA from 1 species
GAGGAUUUAAGCAGUGGGAGCGUUUAGAAUUAGCCCAAGUCAGUACAAUGUCACAUGAAAAUCUGCUUUUACAAUUUUGGGAGGAGGUUGAAAGUGAGUCAUCAGGUGACUCAGGUACUGAUGAUGACUUGGACCAUGCACGCCAAAGAAAUUGUGACAAUGAGAUGGAGCAAGACAUACAGAUAGAGAAAUACAGAAUGAUACAGAUCAGGAAGAAAACAGUAAUGUAAAUAAAUAUUUGACUAGUCAAAAU